GUUGGUAGAGCACCACCUUGCCAAGGUGGAUGUCGCGCGUUCGAGUCGCGUCGUCCGCU
rnacentral:tRNA from 1 species